UGGGGGAUAUUGCACAAUGGGCGAAAGCCUGAUGCAGCGACGCCGCGUGGGGGAUGAAGGCCUUCGGGUUGUAAACUUCUUUUGCUCUGAACAAGGCGCACCAUGGGGUGUGUUGAGUGUAGGGGUUGAUUAGCGCCGGUUAACUACGUGCCAGCAGCCGCGGUAAUACGUAGGGCGCGAGCGUUGUCCGGAAUUAUUGGGCGUAAAGGGCUUGUAGGUGGCUGGUUGCGUCUGUCGUGAAAGCUCAUGGCUUAACUGUGGGUUUGCGGUGGGUACGGGCUGGCUUGAGUGCAGUAGGGGAGGCUGGAAUUCCUGGUGUAGCGGUGGAAUGCGCAGAUAUCAGGAGGAAUACCGGUGGCGAAGGCGGGUCUCUGGGCUGUUACUGACACUGAGGAGCGAAAGCAUGGGGAGCGAACAGG
rnacentral:rRNA from 1 species